rnacentral:rRNA from 1 species
GAAUACCAAGGAGAUCGAGAGAAUCGUGGUUAAGGAACUCGGCAAAAUGCCCCCGUAACUUCGGGAGAAGGGGGGCCUGAGGCGUGAAGGGAUUUACUCCUGGAGCGUUUGAAGGCCGCAGAGACCAGUGGGAAGCGACUGUUUACUAAAAACACAGGUCCGUGCUAAGUCGCAAGACGAUGUAUACGGACUGACGCCUCCCCGGUGCUGGAAGGUUAAGAGGAACGGUUAGCCGCAAGGCGAAGCUGAGAAUUUAAGCCCCAGUAAACGGCGGUGGUAACUAUAACCAUCCUAAGGUAGCGAAAUUCCUUGUCGGGUAAGUUCCGACCUGCACGAAUGGCGUAACGACUUCCCAGCUGUCUCAACCGCGAACUCGGCGAAAUUGCACUACGAGUAAAGAUGCUCGUUACGCGCAGAAGGACGGAAAGACCCCGUGACCUUUACUAUAGCUUUGUAUUGGUGUUCGGUGUGGCUUGUGUAGGAUAGGUGGGAGACUGUGAAGCUUGGACGCUAGUUCAGGUGGAGUCAUUGUUGAAAUACCACUCUGGUCACUCUGGAUAUCUAACUUCGGACCGUAAUCCGGUUCAGGGACAGUGCAUGGUGGGUAGUUUAACUGGGGCGGUUGCCUCCCAAAAAGUAACGGAGGCGCCCAAAGGUUCCCUCAACCUGGUUGGCAAUCAGGUGUCGAGUGUAAGUGCACAAGGGAGCUUGACUGUGAGAGUGACAACUCGAGCAGGGACGAAAGUCGGGACUAGUGAUCCGGCAGUGGCUUGUGGAAGCGCUGUCGCUCAACGGAUAAAAGGUACCUCGGGGAUAACAGGCUGAUCUUGCCCAAGAGUCCAUAUCGACGGCAUGGUUUGGCACCUCGAUGUCGGCUCGUCGCAUCCUGGGGCUGGAGUAGGUCCCAAGGGUUGGGCUGUUCGCCCAUUAAAGCGGUACGCGAGCUGGGUUUAGAACGUCGUGAGACAGUUCGGUCCCUAUCCUCUGCGCGCGCAGGAAAUUUGAGAAGAGCUAUCCCUAGUACGAGAGGACCGGGAUGGACGAACCUCUGGUGUGUCAGUUGUUCCGCCAGGAGCACCGCUGAUUAGCUACGUUCGGAACGGAUAACCGCUGAAAGCAUCUAAGCGGGAAGCCGGCUUCAAGAUGAGAUUUCCAUGACUUCGGUCGAGAGGCUCCCAGCUAGACUACUGGGUUGAUAGGCGGGAUGUGGAAGCGAGGACUAAAGACUCGUGAAGCU